AUAAUGUCGUAGACGAAGAGAGUAGUCCUGUUCAGAAGUAAAGCGAGCUAGGGAUGGUGAGAGCCUAGUAUGGAGAAGAGGAUGAAGCGCACUUCGGAGAUGCUGCUUGAAAAUAAUAGUAGAGUAAGCCGGGGGCCCCUGUCCUCGUUAUAAACGGGAAAGUGGUUCGUAGUGAACAACAAGGGUGGUACCACGGGUGAUAACUCGUCUCUUUU
rnacentral:ncRNA from 1 species